rnacentral:rRNA from 1 species
AAUUUUGGACAAUGGGGGCAACCCUGAUCCAGCCAUGCCGCGUGUGUGAAGAAGGUCUUCGGCUUGUAAAGCACUUUAAGCUGGGAGGCAGGGCAGUAAGUUAAUACCUUGCUGUUUUGACGUUACCAACAGAAUAAGCACCGGCUAACUUCUUGCCAGCAGCAGCAGUAAUACGAAGGGUGCAAGCGUUAAUCGGAAUUACUGGGCGUAAAGCGGGCGUAGGUGGUUUGUCAAGUUGGAAGUGAAAGCCCCGGGCUCAACCUGGGAACUGCUUUCAAAACUGGCAAGCUAGAGUAUGGCAGGGGGUGGUGGAAUUUCCUGUGUAGCGGUGAAAUGCGUAGAUAUAGGAAGGAACACCAGUGGCGAAGGCGACUACCUGGACUGAUACUGACACUGAGGUGCGAAAGCGUGGGGAGCAAAC